GACGAACCGAGCGAACGUUAUUCGGAAUAACUGGGCUUAAAGGGUGCGUAGGCGGGCUGUCAAGUCUGGGGUGAAAUCCGGCAGCUUAACUGUCGAACUGCCUCAGAUACUGAUGGCCUCGAGGGGGGUAGGGGCAUGCGGAACUGUAGGUGGAGCGGUGAAAUGCGUUGAUAUCUACAGGAACUCCGGUGGCGAAAGCGGCGUGCUGGACCCCUUCUGACGCUGAGGCACGAAAGCUAGGGGAGCAAACGGG
rnacentral:rRNA from 1 species